rnacentral:rRNA from 1 species
CAGUCGCCGCGGUAAUACGGAGGGUGCAAGCGUUAAUCGGAAUUACUGGGCGUAAAGCGCACGCAGGCGGUCUGUCAAGUCAGAUGUGAAAUCCCCGGGCUUAACCUGGGAACUGCAUCCAAAACUGGCAAGCUAGAGUAGGGCAGAGGGUGGUGGAAUUUCCUGUGUAGCGGUGAAAUGCGUAGAUAUAGGAAGGAACACCAGUGGCGAAGGCGACCACCUGGGCUCAUACUGACACUGAGGUGCGAAAGCGUGGGGAGCAAACAGGAUUAGAUACCCCCGUAGUCCCUGUCUCUUAUAC